rnacentral:rRNA from 1 species
CUGACCUCAAAUCAGGUAGGACUACCCGCUGAACUUAAGCAUAUUAGUCAGCGGAGGA